AUGACCGUUUUGAUUUUUUCUGGAACAAACAUUCAUUAUUUUUGUUACCAUCGUCUUGGAUUUUUUUGCCGGAACCGGUGUAUUUUUGUGCUACAACUGUUCUUUAAUUUUGCUGGAACCAACCCACCUUUUUUGUUUGUGAUUUUGACGAUGGCGAGCAUGCGGACGGUGAGCGUCGACGGCGAGCGAUGGGCCCGUCGCCACUGGAGCUGCAACCGUCGCUAUCGGAGCUGCAAUUGCAGGGCACAACUGUUGCAUGCGUGGAGUCAGAGACAAGUGCAGGCGGCGACCGGCGGCGAGUGCGGCGACCGGCGACGAGGACAUCCGGCGAGGGUGACGAGGACGGCCGAUGAGGUGCGGCAACCGGCGACGAGGACAUCCGGCGAUGGCGGCGAGGACAAAUGGAGCGAUAACCCGGGAAGACAAAGGGAGCGAUGA
rnacentral:rRNA from 1 species